rnacentral:misc_RNA from 1 species
UCCGGUUUGUCACCGGCAGUAUCCUAAGAGUGCCCAGCCGAACUGAUGGCAACAUAGGAUGAGGGUUGCGCUCGUUGCGGGACUUAACCCAACAUCUCACGACACGAGCUGACGACGGCCAUGCACCACCUGUGACGGUGCCCCGAAGGGAAAGUGUGUUUCCACACCGGUCACCGACAUGUCAAGCCCAGGUAAGGUUCUACGCGUAGCGAUGAAUUAAACCACAUGCUCCGCUGCUUGUGCGGGCCCCCGUCAAUUCCUUUGAGUUUUAGCCUUGCGGCCGUACUCCCCAGGCGGGACACUUAAUGCGUUAGCUUCGGCACGGGAGGAGUCGACACCUCCCACACCUAGUGUCCAUCGUUUACGGCGUGGACUAC